AGCAGCCGCGGUAAUUCCAGCUCCAAUAGCGUAUAUUAAAGUUGUUGCAGUUAAAAAGCUCGUAGUUGAAUUUCGGGGUUAGUAAGUUGGUCAUGCCUCUGGUAUGCACUGGCUUUACUGAUUCCUCCUUCUUGAUGAACUGUAAUGUCAUUAAUUUGGUGUUGCAGGGAAUCAGGACUGUUACUUUGAAAAAUUAGAGUGUUUAAAGCAGGCAUACGCUUGAAUACAUUAGCAUGGAGUAAUGAAAUAGGACGUUUGAUCCUAUUUUGUUGGUUUCUAGGAUUGACGUAAUGAUUAAUAGGGAUAGUUGGGGGCAUUAGUAUUCAAUUGUCAGAGGUGAAAUUCUUGGAUUUAUUGAAGACUAACUACUGCGAAAGCAUUUGCCAAGGAUGUUUUCAUUAAUCAAGAACGAAAGUUAGGGGAUCGAAGACGAUCAGAUACCGUCGUAGUCUUAACCAUAAACUAUGCCGACUAGGGAUCGGAUGAUGUUAUUUUAAUGACUCAUUC
rnacentral:rRNA from 1 species